GUAGGUGGCAAGCGUUGUCCGGAAUUAUUGGGCGUAAAGCGCGCGCAGGCGGUCCUUUAAGUCUGAUGUGAAAGCCCACGGGCUCAACCGUGGAGGGUCAUUGGAAACUGGGGGACUUGAGUACAGAAGAGGAGAGCGGAAUUCCAAGUGUAGCGGUGAAAUGCGUAGAGAUUUGGAGGAACACCAGUGGCGAAGGCGGCUUUCUGGUCUGUAACUGACGCUGAGGCGCGAAAGCGUGGGGAGCAAACAGGAUUAGAUACCCUGGUAGUCCACGCCGUAAACGAUGAGUGCUAAGUGUUAGGGGGUUUCCGCCCCUUAGUGCUGCAGCUAACGCAUUAAGCACUCCGCCUGGGGAGUACGGCCGCAAAGGCUG
rnacentral:rRNA from 1 species